CCUACGGGUGGCAGCAGUGAGGAAUAUUGGUCAAUGGGCUAGAGCCUGAACCAGCCCAGUCGCGUGAGGGAGUACUGCCCUAUGGGUUGUAAACCUCUUUUGUCGGGGAGCAAAAGCCGGACGUGUCCGGCUGUGAGAGUACCCGAAGAAAAAGCAUCGUCUAACUCCGUGCCAGCAGCCGCGGUAAUACUGAGGAUGCGAGCGUUAUCCGGAUUUAUUGGGUUUAAAGGGUGCGCAGGCGGAUUUUUAAGUCAGCGGUCAAAUCGUGGGGCUCAAACUCAUCCAGCCGUUGAAACUGGGGAUCUAGAGUGUGCGAGAGGUAGGAUGAAUGCGGGGUGUAGCGGUGAAAUGCAUAGAUAUCACGCAGAACCCCGAUUGCGAAGGCAGCAUACCGGUGCACAACUGACGCUCAGGCACGAAAGCGUGGGUAUCGAACAGGAUUAGAGACCCUUGUAGUC
rnacentral:rRNA from 1 species